AAAGUCUAAUACACCUGUUGUAUUCGGCGCACGUUACAAAUAAUCUUUGAUUUGAUUUGAUCUUCAGGUCGGAAAGUCAGAGCUUUCGAAAGAUGUUCCGAGUUUCCGACUUGGAAUUCCAAGUUGGACGACCUUUAAAAAUGAUUUCUCCCAGGCUGAGCUCGUAUUUUUACGAGCUCCCAGUUGUCUUCUAUGAACAUACAGAGUAUCUGACAGUAAUAGACAAUCACACACAAGUCGACGUGUCCAUUUGCAUUAAGUCAAUAUGCAUGUUCACAAAGCAAUGUGUCUCACUCGUCAAUUUCACCGGAACAGAUUAUUUGAAUUAAAAUUAAUUGAAGUUCAUUUCCUGGUGUUUUAAGUCUUAUGUCCAACAAUGAAAACAAAAUGUUUUUUUUGGGGGGGGGGAAUAAAACCACCCGCAGGAAGCCAGUUGGGGAACCUUGACCUAGUGGUAAACUAGCUAGCUUUCUAACAAGCUAACAGUAGCUUGCUGCCGUCUAGUUUCUGUUGCACAGGAAGUGAAAGGACUAAGGAUAUCAAUGGUGCUUUCAAGACAAAAUGGUAACGAGAGGGGGAGAGAGAAAGAGAAAAAAAAGAGGUCAAAAUCUGACAUCGUUUAUAUUCAGGUCGGAAAGUCGGAGCUCUACAAAGAUGUUCGCGUUUCUGACUUGGAAUUCCAAGUUGGAUGACCGUUCAAAAAUAUUUUCACAGUCUGAGUUCGUAUUUUUACGAGUUCCCAGUUGUCUUCUAGGAACAUAGAGCGUAUAUGCUUGUUCCUAGGUUGUCUAAAACACACUGAAGUCGGAGAUUUCCGAGUUUCGACUUGUUUUGAACGCGGCAUCUGACUGUCGACCUGCUUAAUAUACUUAUGUCCACAAA